rnacentral:lncRNA from 1 species
GCCUUCUGGUUAUGUCACAACAUGGCAAGAGGGCAUUAUGACAAAAGCAAGUUCUACAGAGAGAGAUCACAUGGUGAGAGAGGCAGCAAGACGGAGACCAAAUUUGCUUUACAAAAUCAUAUCCUCUCAAGAACUAAUCUACCCUGGAAUAACAGCAUUAAUCCCUUCUGAGGAUGGAACUUCCGUGACCUAACAACCUGCACAAGGCUCACCUCUUACAGGCUCUCCCACUUCCACAUUGCCUCCCUGGGGAACAAGGUUCCAGCACAGGAGUCUUUAAGGAACACACUCUAACAACAUCCAAACCACAGCAAUUUGUAUAGCCAGCCUCUCAGCAUUCACUGAGUUCUUGAAGCUAAGAGUGCAAGCCAUCUAUAUGUGUUUGAAGUCCAGAUAUGCUGUUUGAAGUUGAGAUAUGCUGUCUCCAACUUUGCUGCAUCCUGGGCUGGAGGCAAAGGUAAUCCUUUAUGCAACAGAGUGCUUCAUGGCUCAAGAAUAUGGAUGCUGGUAAUUCACAUAUGCCACGGAGAAGCUGUGAAAUGUUUCCUUUAAAUGAAAAGGCAUCCACUGGGCAUCUGGAAAUGUUCGUGGAGGAGACGAAGAACUACUACAAUCACUUCUUGUCCUUCUAGGUCUGGGAUUGGUUGUCUCAUGGACACAUCUGCUUGUCAACUGGAUGUGUGGAAAUUCUGACUUGGUCCAGUGAUAUGAUCUGAUUGUGUUUAAGCAAUGUCAUUAGAAAUUUGUACUCCACUGUGUCUGCCCCAGUCCUGUUCCACUAGACUCUAAGACAAUUCUCUGUUGAGAAUGAACACUCUAACCUAUAUCCAACUGCAAGGAUUUCAUGAAAGCAUCUGAGUAAACCAAAACAUUCCCCCCAGAAUUGAUCUGCUGGUGAUAAAAAACUAAAAAUGACUAUUACUCACUUAUUGAUAUUUUUC